AAGAUGGAGUGAAAGUGUCUCAGGGGA
rnacentral:sRNA from 1 species